CCUUGUCAUACUCCUUUCCCAAUUUUGAACCAGUCAGUUGUUCGAAGUCCAGUUCUAACUGUUGCUGAGUUUUGAGAAACCCAGUAUAGGUUUCUCAGGACACGGUUACAGGAAUUAGCUGUAUGUACACCUAUAUCCCUUCCCGCCUUGGUUUAUUUUAAAUGACAUAGCUGCUUGAGUACUUUUGCCCUGUAGGUUUCUUUGCUUUUCAUAGAGAAGGAUGGAAUUACUAAUUGACAGAAUGUGUGCCAUAUAUUUUAGAGUUUUGGUGCAAACUGGCUACAGAAACAGAACAAGAAUUUCUUGGCCUAGGGGUUUUCUUAUUUGUUAAUUUUUUUCUACAGGCUUGGUUUAGAAGAGCUGAACAGUUAGCUCCAUUUUGAGCUGAGUUUUCUUAGAACAAGGGCGGUUUGGAUGACAUGAAGUUAGGAGCUCAUGAAAAUACAUAAAGAGAUAAUAUCACACAGUUAACACGUCUAGUCAAGGCUAUGGUUUUUCCAAUGGUCAUGUAUGGAGUGAGAGUUGGACUAUGAAGAAAGCUGAGCGCCAAA